rnacentral:rRNA from 1 species
AUGUAUGGCCCGCUCUGCUCGGCCGGGAAAUGGAGGAGGAGCCCCCGCCGGCGGAGCCUCGGUCGCAGCGGUUCGUGUUGUCGCUGCACGGGCUGGGGGACAGCGGGCGCGCCAACGAGCCCAUCGCCGGGUACGCCUUCGCCGGCGCCCGCUGGGCCUUCCCCACGGCGCCCACCGCGCCCGUCCCAUGCAACCAAAUCCGUGAGGGACGAGGCGGACGUGCUGAGGGCGGUGGAGAGCGUGCACGCCAUGAUCGACCAGGAGAUAUCCGCCGGGACGAAGCCGGAGGAUGUCUUCGUCUUCGGGCUCAGCCAGGGAGGCGCGCUGAGCAUUGCCAGCGUGCUGCUGUACCCCAAGACGCUGGGCGGCUGCGCGGUCUUCAGCGGAUUCCUCCCGUUCGGCGCCUCCUUCGCUUCCAGGGUCACGGCCGAGGCCAAGAAGACGCCGGUGCUGUGGGUGCACGGUCGAGCGGACUUCCUGGUCCCGAUCGAGGCGGGCAAAGACGGGACCAAGUUCCUGCGGGGACGGCUGGGCAUGAGCUGCGAGUUCAAGGUGUACGAGGGUCUCGGCCACGAGCUGGCACCCUACGAGCUCCAGUACUGCGAGCGCUGGGCCGCCGGUGGUGAGAAGCGUUGA